rnacentral:lncRNA from 1 species
CUUCCCGCCUGCGCGCUCGGCCAAGUGCGGCCGGGUCCUGCGGGACCGGCCCGAGUCCGCCGUAGACAACUUGAUCCGCUAAGACUCCUGGGCCGGCCGCCUGCGUGCAGGGCAGCCCCUCGCCGGUGUUGGCCUCCGGGAUCAGGGGACGGGGCUCGCUCUCCUCCCGGGCCCGGGCCCCCGACGCAAGAUGGCUGUGUCGCGUCGGCCUCUAAACAAUGUGUGGAGCGCGCAGCUCCUGCACCAGGGCCUGGUGGCUUGUCCUGCCCGCCCGUGGGGGCCGUGUGAUCUGUUUUCGAAGAAGGCAAACGUGGUUUGGGAAUUAGUACAUAUACCUGUUUUCCAAUUCUCAGUAGCAUAGGAAACGGACUUUUCAUGGCCCAAGUUAUCCUCACGACUUGUCAGUUGAUUGGCUUUGGAACCUCUGAACCGUCCCUAGAUGGUAUUGACGCUUCACAACUGUGUGUAAAGGUUUUCAAUGGAAGGGUCAUGCAAAUAUCCCGUAGGGUAGUGAAGGAGGAAAAUUUCAUAAAUGAAGGGCAGUAAUUAUUUGUAAUCUGAAGAUCUCACAAAGCGGCUUAGUGAUAAACAUUAUCCCGAAACAGAUACAUGGAAAUCAGAUACGAGGGAAGAAAUGGAUUUGUCCAAGGUCACUUAAGUGAGGAAGAGACCUAGGAGAAACAAACAGACAAAAAUCCAGGCCUCCCGUUUCAUUAUUAUUUCAUGAAUGUUAAGUGUCCAUGGUUGCUGUGCAGAACACAUGCAAUCUCUAAUCCUAUCCUAAAAGCACAUAUGCAAUCAGCUUGGACCGAGCUGCCAGCAAAGAAUUUCCUAUAAUUCAAGCCAAGAUGAGUUAUUUUGCUUGUUUUUUGUUUUGUUUUCAGGAAACCGAAAUAUUUAUUGUUGGAUUUAUCCAGGAAGGCUGUUCUGCAUUAGUUAAAUGCAUCAUAUCUUCAAGAAAUGUUAAAUGACAUGGAUGCUUCCAGCCCUGAAGCAUCAGACUCCAGGUUCUUUGGCUUUUGGACUCUUGGAGUUACACCAGUGGUUUCCCAGGAACUCUCCAGCCUUGGGCCACAGACUGAAGUUUGCACUGUCGGCUUCCCUGCUUUUGAGGUUUUGUGACUCAGACUGAGCCAACUGGCUUCCUUGCUCUUCAGGUUGCGGACGGCCUAUCGUGGGACUUUGCCUUGUGAUUGUGUGAGUCAAUUGUCCUUAAUAAACUGCCUUUCAUAUAUACAUCUAUCCUAUUAGUUCUGUCCCUCUGGAGAACUCUGACUGCUGAUACACAUAGCAAGACCCCGUCUCUAAAAAAAAGAGAGAAAGGCACAUUGGAAAAUAGAGAAUAGAUCAAGAAAACAAUCCACUCAUAAUUCCAUUACCCUAUCACUACCACUAGUAGCAUUCCAAAAAGGUUUUCAUUAUUAAUUCAGGUUGGUGCUAUAGUGGGUACACAGGGUCAAGGGGAAGGUACCUGCAAAGUCUAAGUGAAGCAAAGACUAUCCUUUGAGAAUGAAAUUAGGAAAAAUUGUUGAGAUCAGCCCUCUAUAGCAAUGGCCCAAUCUAUGAAACUGAAAUAACUUUGCUGAGACAUUUCAGCUUUCUCAUCUGUAAAAUGGCAAUAAUACUUGAAUUCCCUCCUUUUCAGACUUGUUGUGAGAUUAAAAUAAAAUAAUAAAAAGCAACAAAUUAUAAAGUCAUUAGUAAAUGGAUGUAUCCUACUGUGUCAUGAUUAUCCAAUUUAUUUAAAUGACAUAGGCAAUCAAAUUUCAUAAUUCAGGAUUUAAAAAAUUGUACUUGGGGCCUCUCAAUUCCUUUCCUGUCUGAUUUGGUGAAAUAUAAUAGGUAGGUAGUUGGUAAAUAAGUCUUGUUUCUCACAGGUUGUAUAUAUCUAUCUGGUUGGAAAUAAAAUAAAGAUAUGGCAGACUAAUGCCUAUUUGCACGUGCUUUUAGAACAUCUCUACUGUACUGUAGCACCAUUAGAUGAUUAGUAUUAGUAACUAAUGCUCUGGAAGUAUGAGAAUAAUAAAAUAAUGAUGAAAAC